rnacentral:rRNA from 1 species
UACGUAGGGAGCAAGCGUUGUCCGGAAUCAUUGGGCGUAAAGCGCGCGUAGGCGGCCCUGUAAGUCCGUUGUGAAAAGUCAAAGGCUCAACCUUUGAAAGCCGAUGGAUACUGCAGGGCUGGAGUCCGGAAGAGGCGAGUGGAAUUCCUGGUGUAGCGGUGGAAUGCGCAGAUAUCAGGAGGAACACCAAUAGCGAAGGCAGCUCGCUGGGACGGUACUGACGCUGAGGCGCGAAAGCGUGGGGAGCGAACAGG